AGUGAACGCUGGCGGCAGGCCUAACACAUGCAAGUCGAACGAUGAACCCGGAGCUUGCUCCGGCGGAUUAGUGGCGAACGGGUGAGUAACACGUGAGUAACCUGCCCUUGACUCUGGGAUAAGCGUUGGAAACGACGUCUAAUACCGGAUACGAGCUGGGACCGCAUGGUCACUAGCUGGAAAGAAUUUCGGUCAAGGAUGGACUCGCGGCCUAUCAGUUAGUUGGUGAGGUAACGGCUCACCAAGACGACGACAGGUAGCCGGCCUGAGAGGGGGACCGGCCACACUGGGACUGAGACACGGCCCAGACUCCUACGGGAGGCAGCAGUGGGGAACAUUGCACAAUGGGCGAAAGCCUGAUGCAGCAACGCCGCGUGAGGGACGACGGCCUUCGGGUUGUAAACCUCUUUUAGCAGGGAAGAAGCGAAAGUGACGGUACCAUAGGAGGAAGCCCCGGCUAACUACGUGCCAGCCGCCGCUGUAA
rnacentral:rRNA from 1 species